UAUAUGUUUCAUUCUGAGAGUGAGAACAAUGAAUCUGAAGAAGGCUCUGCAGAAUCUUCCUUUUCCACAGAAUCUGAAGAAGAAAAUGAAGAAGGAGCUGCAUCAGCCCAGUCAAUGGCUGUUUCUCGAAAAGAUAAUGUUUCUUGGAGGCAUGAAGCAAAUGGCUCUAUCUUCAUUUCCAAAAGUAUCCACUACUUCAAAGAGUAUUCUUGGAGUCAUUAUCUAGAGGAAAUUUUUUGAAAGGUUCAACGUUCAUUUGACACACCAAAUGUACUGACCUAGUUGCCCACCAUUGAAAGCGUGUCCAUGACAUGAUAUUUCUGUCUCUUUCCUGGGAGUUAAAACUCAGAAGAAGCAACUCAGGUAAAUAUAUUCUAGAACU
rnacentral:lncRNA from 1 species